UAGAGUUUGAUCCUGGGCUCAGGACGAACGCUGGCGGCGUGCCUAAUACAUGCAAGUCGAACGCUUUUUCUUUCACCGGAGCUUGCUCCACCGAAAGAAAAAGAGUGGCGAACGGGUGAGUAACACGUGGGUAACCUGCCCAUCAGAAGGGGAUAACACUUGGAAACAGGUGCUAAUACCGUAUAACACUAUUUUCCGCAUGGAAGAAAGUUGAAAGGCGCUUUUGCGUCACUGAUGGAUGGACCCGCGGUGCAUUAGCUAGUUGGUGAGGUAACGGCUCACCAAGGCAACGAUGCAUAGCCGACCUGAGAGGGUGAUCGGCCACACUGGGACUGAGACACGGCCCAGACUCCUACGGGAGGCAGCAGUAGGGAAUCUUCGGCAAUGGACGAAAGUCUGACCGAGCAACGCCGCGUGAGUGAAGAAGGUUUUCGGAUCGUAAAACUCUGUUGUUAGAGAAGAACAAGGAUGAGAGUAAAAUGUUCAUCCCUUGACGGUAUCUAACCAGAAAGCCACGGCUAACUACGUGCCAGCAGCCGCGGUAAUACGUAGGUGGCAAGCGUUGUCCGGAUUUAUUGGGCGUAAAGCGAGCGCAGGCGGUUUCUUAAGUCUGAUGUGAAAGCCCCCGGCUCAACCGGGGAGGGUCAUUGGAAACUGGGAGACUUGAGUGCAGAAGAGGAGAGUGGAAUUCCAUGUGUAGCGGUGAAAUGCGUAGAUAUAUGGAGGAACACCAGUGGCGAAGGCGGCUCUCUGGUCUGUAACUGACGCUGAGGCUCGAAAGCGUGGGGAGCGAACAGGAUUAGAUACCUGGUAGUCCAA
rnacentral:rRNA from 1 species